CCCUUAGAUGUUCUGGGCCGCACGCGCGCUACACUGAUUCAUGCAACAAGUUUUGUCCUUGGCUGAUAGGCCUGGGUAAUCUUUGAACGUGAAUCGUGAUGGGGAUAGAUGAUUGCAAUUAUUCAUCUUCAACGAGGAAUUCCUAGUAAACGCAAGUCAUCAGCUUGCAUUGAUUACGUCCCUGCCCUUUGUACACACCGCCCGUCGCACCUACCGAUUGAAUGGUCCGGUGAAAUCUUCGGAUCUGAGAGAUGUCUGAUUAAUUUCGGACGCCUUUUGGAAAAGUUGCUUAAACCUUACCAUUUAGAGGAAGGUGAAGUCAUAACA
rnacentral:rRNA from 1 species